UACGGAGGGUGCAAGCGUUAUCCGGAUUCACUGGGUUUAAAGGGUGCGUAGGUGGGCUGGUAAGUCAGUGGUGAAAUCCCCGAGCUUAACUUGGGAACUGCCAUUGAUACUAUCGGUCUUGAAUACCGUGGAGGUCAGCGGAAUAUGUCAUGUAGCGGUGAAAUGCUUAGAUAUGACAUAGAACACCAAUUGCGAAGGCAGCUGGCUACACGAAUAUUGACACUGAGGCACGAAAGCGUGGGGAUCAAACAGG
rnacentral:rRNA from 1 species